rnacentral:rRNA from 1 species
UGGGGAAUUUUGGACAAUGGGCGAAAGCCUGAUCCAGCAAUGCCGCGUGUGUGAAGAAGGCCUUCGGGUUGUAAAGCACUUUUGUCCGGAAAGAAAUCCUUGGCUCUAAUACAGUCGGGGGAUGACGGUACCGGAAGAAUAAGCACCGGCUAACUACGUGCCAGCAGCCGCGGUAAUACGUAGGGUGCAAGCGUUAAUCGGAAUUACUGGGCGUAAAGCGUGCGCAGGCGGUUUGCUAAGACCGAUGUGAAAUCCCCGGGCUCAACCUGGGAACUGCAUUGGUGACUGGCAGGCUAGAGUAUGGCAGAGGGGGGUAGAAUUCCACGUGUAGCAGUGAAAUGCGUAGAUAUGUGGAGGAAUACCGAUGGCGAAGGCAGCCCCCUGGGCCAAUACUGACGCUCAUGCACGAAAGCGUGGGGAGCAAACAGGAUUAGAUACCCUGGUAGUCCACGCCCUAAACGAUGUCAACUAGUUGUUGGGGAUUCAUUUCCUAGUAACGUAGCUAACGCGUGAAGUUGACCGCCUGGGGAGUACGGUCGCAAGAUUAAAACUCAAAUGAAUUGACGGGGUCAUAGCUGUUUCCU